GACCUAAAAUAGAACCUUGAGGCACUCCAUACUUUACAAACGAUUUAUCAGAUUUAAUGUUAGCGUAUUGGACUUCUUGUUGUCUGUCAGACAAAUACGAUUUUAUCCAAUCUAUCAUAUGUUUUCCGAUAUGAUAAAAUUUUAACUUUUCUAGAAGUAUGGCAUGGUUUAUAAGGUCAAAAGCCUUACUGAAAUCUAAAAACACUGUACCAAC
rnacentral:lncRNA from 1 species